CUGAAGUUGCAAUCUUUCUUUCUGCUUUACAAAGCAGAGUAAAACCUAAACUAUUGUUGUUACAAUACCAAACUCAUGGCACAACACUGUGUAAUUUAGAGUUUUAUUAUUUAAUGUAACUCUUUACUCCCUGAACUUAUGUUCUGGUUCAGGAGGCAGAACUAUUGAAAUGUGAUCAGUGUUAUAAAAGCUGUAGGAGUUGUGGGAGCAGAAAAACUUUUUAAGAUGAAGUGAAGCUUGGGCUUGUGUUGAAGAAAAGAAUAGGAGAGAAAGCAUCUGCCGACAUGUACCUGUGAGAACCUUGCAAGAAUUACAGACACUUUUAAUGACAAAACCAGGCAUCUGCAUAUAAUCAGUUAUGUAAAGAAUAAAGAAUGUUCUGAGCCA
rnacentral:lncRNA from 1 species